rnacentral:rRNA from 1 species
UGGGGAAUCUUGGACAAUGGGGGCAACCCUGAUCCAGCCAUGCCGCGUGAGUGAUGAAGGCCUUAGGGUCGUAAAGCUCUUUCGCCUGUGAAGAUAAUGACGGUAGCAGGUAAAGAAACCCCGGCUAACUCCGUGCCAGCAGCCGCGGUAAUACGGAGGGGGUUAGCGUUGUUCGGAAUUACUGGGCGUAAAGCGCACGUAGGCGGACCAGAAAGUUGGGGGUGAAAUCCCGGGGGCUCAACCCCGGAACUGCCUCCAAAACUAUUGGUCUAGAGUUCGAGAGAGGUGAGUGGAAUUCCAAGUGUAGAGGUGAAAUUCGUAGAUAUUUGGAGGAACACCAGUGGCGAAGGCGGCUCACUGGCUCGAUACUGACGCUGAGGUGCGAAAGUGUGGGGAGCAAACAGGAUUAGAUACCCUGGUAGUCCACACCGUAAAACGAUGAAUGUUAGCCGUCGGGCAGUAUACUGUUCGGUGGCGCAGCUAACGCAUUAAACAUUCCGCCUGGGGG